GUCGAACGGAGGCCCUAGCUUGCUAGGUGUCCUUAGUGGCGCACGGGUGAGUAACACGUGGGAACAUACCUUAUAGUACGGAAUAACUGCGGGAAACUGUAGCUAAUACCGUAUAUUCCAGUAAUGGGAAAGAUUUAUCGCUAUAAGAUUGGCCCGCGCAAGAUUAGCUUGUUGGUGAGGUAAAAGCUCACCAAGGCUUCGAUCUUUAGCUGGUUUGAGAGGACGAUCAGCCACACUGGGACUGAGACACGGCCCAGACUCCUACGGGAGGCAGCAGUAGGGAAUAUUGGACAAUGGGGGAAACCCUGAUCCAGCAAUGCAGCGUGAGUGACGAAGGCCUUAGGGUUGUAAAACUCUUUCAUCGGUGAGGAUAAUGACAGUAGCCGAAGAAGAAGGACCGGCUAAUUCCGUGCCAGCAGCCGCGGUAAUACGGAAGGUCCUAGCGUUGUUCGGAAUUACUGGGCGUAAAGCGCAUGUAGGCGGAACAGAAAGUUAGAAGUGAAAUCCCUGGGCUCAACCUAGGAAUUGCUUUUAAAACUACUGUUCUGGAAUUCAGGAGAGGAAAAUGGAAUUUCCAGUGUAGAGGUGAAAUUCGUAGAUAUUGGAAGGGACACCAGUGGCGAAGGCGAUUUUCUGGACUGACAUUGACGCUGAGAUGCGAAGGCAUGGGUAGCAAACGGGAUUAGAUACCCCGGUAGUCCAUGCAGUAAACGAUGGGUGCUAGUCGUCGGACUUUUGUUCGGUGUCGUAGCUAACGCGUUAAGCACCCCGCCUGGGGAGUACGGUCGCAAGAUUAAAACUCAAAUAAAUUGACGGGGACCCGCACAAGCAGUGGAGCAUGUGGUUUAAUUCGACGCAACGCGAAGAACCUUACCAGCGUUUGACAUGGAAAAGUGCCGGUUACAGAAUGGUAACCUUCAGUUCGGCUGGCUUUCGCACAGGUGCUGCAUGGCUGUCGUCAGCUCGUG
rnacentral:rRNA from 1 species